rnacentral:lncRNA from 1 species
UUCAGGAAGCAGUCUGAGACCUGCGCAGUUUAUUGCCAGGACUUGGACUUGCUUAAACCUUGAAUUGAAAAGUUCUAGCACAGCAAAGUAAAGCUGGGAUCUUCUCCUCCUGGGUACCACAGAAAAUGGGAUGAACAUCGCAUAAAUUGGCACAGAAAAAGAGAAACAGCAAGGAAGGAGAUCCAAGGACCUUUCUUCAUGUCAGCAAUUAAAUUCUUGGAGAUGACUUGCAUCCAAGUUAGGUGGGCUGACCCGAGAUUCAUAUCGUGACCUAUUGUGAAAGUACCUCAGCUUUAAUCACAAGAAUGCCCUUCCCACCUAGAGAUGUACACCCUUUGAACAAAGGGAUUAUUUCAUUUUUGCUUUGUAUUUCCAGUGUCUAAAACAUGCCUGAACAUGGUAUGUGCUUAACAAAUACUUAUGGAAUUGAAUUAAAUCAUAUGAAUUGAGUUCCUGAAAUAAUCACUUCAUUGUACUUUUCCCUUAUAAAACUACUAUAACAAAGCUAUUAUAAAACUUUUGGUAGCUCUGAAAAAUAGCUGGAAACUUGGUGUGGCUCUCUCUAUCACAAUUUUGUAGUUUUCUGACCCUUUUUAGUCUUUUACUGAUGCUCUUUGGAUUUUUUCUACCUUGAUCAUAUCCCAGUGUCUACCACAAAGAAAAAUACUUAAGUAAAGCCAAAUGACAAAAAAAAAUCAUAGCUGAUAACAUAUACUCAUUCAUUAAAAAAAAAACAACAUAUCUUUCAUCUUAGAAAAGACACUAAGUAAGGGCUUGGCCAUUGGAGUUAAGUAACUUGCCCCAGGUCAAAUAGCUAGAAAGUGCCCAAGAUCAUAUUUGAACCCAGGGCCUUCUGUCUCCAGGCCUGGCUCUCUCUAUCCACCUCGCUGCCCCUCACUCAUUCAUUUUUGACAUUUGAUGCUAGAAUUUAACCUCCUUUCGAAUAUUUUGCAUUUCUCAGGGCUUUUAUGUCCUCUAGGCAUAGUUAGAGUUUUGUCUUCCAUUUAAGAUCUCAGAAACAUUGCUGAUUUAGCAAUCUUUUAGAAAUAGGGGAAAGAAACCCCUUUUUCUUCCUUCUUUCUCUUGAAACCAGUGACAUAAAAUCUUAGUUCAUUUUUUCUUAAUCUCUAGGGACAAGACAAACUCAGUACUUAAGGGCCUGGGGGAUUAAUUACUUGCAGAAAAAUGGGGAGAUAAAAUAAUUUCUCUGGAGACAUUUAAGAAAAAAAAAUGAAACCCUUCAGUCGAGCAUCAUUCAGGAGCAGCCCUU